CACGUAGGGUGCGAGCGUUGUCCGGAAUUAUUGGGCGUAAAGAGCUCGUAGGCGGUCCGGCGCGUCCGGGGUGAAAGCCUCCAGCUUAACUGGAGAAGUGCCCCGGAUACGGCCGGACUCGAGUGGGGUAGGGGCGUGUGGAACUUCCGGUGGAGCGGUGAAAUGCGUAGAUAUCGGAAGGAACGCCGGUGGCGAAAGCGGCACGCUGGACCCCUUCUGACGCUGAGGCGCGAAAGCCAGGGGAGCGAACGGG
rnacentral:rRNA from 1 species